GCUUUUUCUAUCGACACUGCCACUUUUUCUUGACUCUUGUAGAUCGAACUUUAACAGAUUGAAGGUCAGAAUGUUUGUUCCGAUUCCACAGACCAGUUACCUGUUACCUAUUCUGUAAAUUCCACCUUUUCCAGAUGAACCACUUCAAUUGGGAAAUCCUAAAGUGUACAACUGUGCAAGUAUUGAACAUUGCAGCUUGAAAUUCAAUGUCACCUAAAAGACAACAUAAUAAUGGACAGAUGUUCACUGGUCGUUCGUACUUGUUGGCCACACACAUGAAGAUAUUGAUCCUGCUUUCGGCUAAUAUCAGAAAAAUUAAGAACAAAGGAUGCUGAAACUGUGCAGUCACUGUUCAGGAUUAUUCCAGAUGUUUCAAAAGUGAAAUUAUAAUACAAUAUAUGUUACUGGCUAAUUCCUAUGAUUAGUAAUUUUAAACAACACACAGAGACUUUGCAUUAUUUUUUUACAAGAGAGACACCAAAAGAUGCAGUCAACAUUUAUCAUUUUUAUCAAAAUACACCCAGGACAAACCAUGGAUACACUUAGCUUGAAAUAUGGUGCUUUCUUACCAAAAUUGCCUGGACGUAAAAGAAAUGAAGAACCUAAAUUCAUGACAACAAUCAGGAGAUACCAGAAGAACUAGUAUAAAUGGUUAAAGAUGAAAGAAUGCAGAAUAAGGCAGGAUUAAAAGGAAGAAAGAACUAGUCAUCAGUAAAGAAACAGAUCAAUUUAUAUAACAUGUAAUAAUUCCAUCUGAAUAUAACAAACAUUGCACAUGUUAUGAAGAUUUGUUCACAUGUCUACUCUGAUUUGUAGUUAUGUAUUUGUAAUAUUAUAUAGU